GGCAGGGUGAGGAGAGCAGGUUUGAGCAGGAGACAUUCCUCAACCAAUCCGGACUCACAGGUGGGCGGGCGCCCCACUCUCAGGACGGGGCUUCCCCUCCAAAGGGAAGGCCUGGGGCAAAGUCGCCUCCAACUGACUUAGAUGCAAACCAGUGUCGUUCCUAACCUGUGGUCUGAAGACGUGAGCCCUGAAUUUGUUGGAACAAGCAGCUCCUGGCCUGAGGCGGGACGGUGUUUUUGCAUGGAGGUGUUUAGGAGAUCUGGUGUUAAGUCACUGAACAGUUCACCCUCCAACUGGUGCAGGGAGCACUAUGGUUUGAAUACAGUUUGUUCCCUCUGAAGCUCAGGUUGAGAUGGGCUUGAGAGAUGGUGGGGCCUUCAAGAGGUGAUUAGGUCACGGAGGGGGACCCAAGCCUUUCUGCCUCAUUUCCCGUUCCAUCUCCCACUCAACUGAAGCAGCACAAGGCCCCUGCCAGAUGCAGCUCCCUGAGUUUGGACUCUGCAGCCUCCUCAACUGUGAGCCAAAGUGAACCUCAUUUCUUUAUUGAUCAUACAGCCCCAUGAAUUCUGUUCCAGCAACACCAAGUUACGUUCUGACUGACUUCUGAGUGAUAACGAUGCAGUCUUGUAUUGGUGUCAGCUGACAUCACACAGCGAGUUGGCCCACGUUCUCACUCUUCCCAUUUUCCAGAAGCGCUGAGUGCCUCUUGCAAUGAGCACAUGAAGAAGGAAUGAAGUGAAAAGAGUGAAGAACUUGAUUUGUCUAUGAGUCUUCCUCCCUAUUUGAAAUGGGACCUUCAGUCAUGAAAAUCUUCUAGGAUAAAUUCUUAAACAUCACUGAAUAUGUUUCUGAGAUCGUAGGUAAAUAUCCUUUUGGUACCCCGAGCUAUAACUCCCUGUGAUCUGG
rnacentral:lncRNA from 1 species